CAGGCCUAACACAUGCAAGUCGAACGGUAACAGGAAGCAGCUUGCUGCUUUGCUGACGAGUGGCGGACGGGUGAGUAAUGUCUGGGAAACUGCCUGAUGGAGGGGGAUAACUACUGGAAACGGUAGCUAAUACCGCAUAACGUCGCAAGACCAAAGAGGGGGACCUUCGGGCCUCUUGCCAUCGGAUGUGCCCAGAUGGGAUUAGCUUGUUGGUGGGGGUAACGGCUCACCAAGGCGACGAUCCCUANCUGGUCUGAGAGGAUGACCAACCACACUGGGAACUGAAGACACGGUCCAAGACUCCUACGGGAGGGAACAAGUGGGGAAUAUUUGCACAAAUGGGCGCAAGCCCUGAU
rnacentral:rRNA from 1 species